CAGCAGCCACGGGAAUACGGAGGGGGCUAGCGUUGUUCGGAAUUACUGGGCGUAAAGCGCACGUAGGCGGCUUGGUAAGUUAGAGGUGAAAGCCUGGAGCUCAACUCCAGAAUUGCCUUUAAGACUGCCGAGCUAGCAGGUGAGAGAGGUAAGUGGAAUUCCGAGUGUAGAGGUGAAAUUCGUAGAUAUUCGGAAGAACACCAGUGGCGAAGGCGGCUUACUGGCUCAUACUGGACGCUGAGGUGCGAAAGCGUGGGGAGCAAACAGGAUUAGAGACCCCAGUAGUCCCUGUCUCUUAUAA
rnacentral:rRNA from 1 species